UACGGGGGGGGCAAGCGUUGUUCGGAAUUACUGGGCGUAAAGGGCUCGUAGGCGGCCCAACUAAGUCAUACGUGAAAUCCCUCGGCUUAACCGGGGAACUGCGUCUGAUACUGGAUGGCUUGAGUUCGGGAGAGGGAUGUGGAAUUCCCGGUGUAGCGGUGAAAUGCGCAGAUAUCGUGAGGAAUACCAGAGGCGAAGGCGGCUACCUGGACAAUUGCUGACGCUCAGGCACGAAAGCGUGGGGAGCAAAAGGG
rnacentral:rRNA from 1 species